CGUAGUGGCGCACGGGUGCGUAACGCGUGGGAAUCUGCCCUUGGGUUCGGGAUAACAGUUGGAAACGACUGCUAAUACCGGAUGAUGACUUCGGUCCAAAGAUUUAUUGCCCAGGGAUGAGCCCGCGUAGGAUUAGCUAGUUGGUGAGGUAAAGGCUCACCAAGGCGACGAUCCUUAGCUGGUCUGAGAGGAUGAUCAGCCACAUUGGGACUGAGACACGGCCCAA
rnacentral:rRNA from 1 species